AGUGGCGGACGGGUGAGUAACACGUAAGAAUUUGCCUUUAGGAGGGGGACAACAACUGGAAACGGUUGCUAAUACCCCAUAUGCUUUCGAGUGAAAUGGAUUUCCGCCUAAAGAGAAGCUUGCGGCUGAUUAGCUUGUUGGUGAGGUAAUGGCUCACCAAGGCGACGAUCAGUAUCUGGUUUGAGAGGACGAUCAGACACACUGGAACUGAGACACGGUCCAGACUCCUACGGGAGGCAGCAGUGGGGAAUUUUCCGCAAUGGGCGAAAGCCUGACGGAGCAAUACCGCGUGAGGGAUGAAGGCCUAUGGGUUGUAAACCUCUUUUUUCAGGGAGGAAUAAAUGACGUGUACCUGAAGAAUAAGCAUCGGCUAACUCCGUGCCAGCAGCCGCGGUAAGACGGGGGAUGCAAGUGUUAUCCGGAAUCACUGGGCGUAAAGCGUCUGUAGGUGUUAAAUAAGUCAACUGUUAAAUCUUGAGGCUCAACCUCAAAAUCGCAGUCGAAACUGUUUGACUAGAGUAUAGUAGGGGUAAAGGGAAUUUCCAGUGGAGCGGUGAAAUGCGUAGAUAUUGGAAAGAACACCGAUGGCGAAGGCACUUUACUGGGCUAUUACUAACACUGAGAGACGAAAGCUAGGGUAGCAAAUGGGAUUAGAUACCCCAGUAGUCCUAGCUGUAAACAAUGGAUACUAGAUGUUGAA
rnacentral:rRNA from 1 species